rnacentral:rRNA from 1 species
GAUGAACGCUAGCUACAGGCUUAACACAUGCAAGUCGAGGGGAAACGAUAGAGAAAGCUUGCUUUUUCUAGGCGUCGACCGGCGCACGGGUGAGUAACGCGUAUCCAACCUGCCCAUCACUUGGGGAUAACCUUGCGAAAGUAAGACUAAUACCCAAUGAUAUCUCUAGAAGACAUCUGAAAGAGAUUAAAGAUUUAUCGGUGAUGGAUGGGGAUGCGUCUGAUUAGCUUGUUGGCGGGGUAACGGCCCACCAAGGCGACGAUCAGUAGGGGUUCUGAGAGGAAGGUCCCCCACAUUGGAACUGAGACACGGUCCAAACUCCUACGGGAGGCAGCAGUGAGGAAUAUUGGUCAAUGGACGAGAGUCUGAACCAGCCAAGUAGCGUGCAGGAUGACGGCCCUAUGGGUUGUAAACUGCUUUUAUAAGGGAAUAAAGUGAGUCUCGUGAGGCUUUUUGCAUGUACCUUAUGAAUAAGGACCGGCUAAUUCCGUGCCAGCAGCCGACGG